rnacentral:rRNA from 1 species
UACGUAGGGUGCAAGCGUUAAUCGGAAUUACUGGGCGUAAAGCGUGCGCAGGCGGUUUUGUAAGUCUGUCGUGAAAUCCCCGGGCUUAACCUGGGAAUGGCGAUGGAGGCUGCAAGGCUAGAGUUUGGCAGAGGGGGGUAGAAUUCCACGUGUAGCAGUGAAAUGCGUAGAGAUGUGGAGGAACACCGAUGGCGAAGGCAGCCCCCUGGGUCAAAACUGACGCUCAUGCACGAAAGCGUGGGGAGCAAACAGG